GAGUUUGAUCCUGGCUCAGGAUGAACGCUAGCUACAGGCUUAACACAUGCAAGUCGAGGGGCAUCAGGAAGAAAGCUUGCUUUCUUUGCUGGCGACCGGCGCACGGGUGAGUAACACGUAUCCAACCUGCCCUUUACUCGGGGAUAGCCUUUCGAAAGAAAGAUUAAUACCCGAUAGCAUAAUGAUUCCGCAUGGUUUCAUUAUUAAAGGAUUCCGGUAAAGGAUGGGGAUGCGUUCCAUUAGGUUGUUGGUGAGGUAACGGCUCACCAAGCCUUCGAUGGAUAGGGGUUCUGAGAGGAAGGUCCCCCACAUUGGAACUGAGACACGGUCCAAACUCCUACGGGAGGCAGCAGUGAGGAAUAUUGGUCAAUGGGCGCUAGCCUGAACCAGCCAAGUAGCGUGAAGGAUGAAGGCUCUAUGGGUCGUAAACUUCUUUUAUAUAAGAAUAAAGUGCAGUAUGUAUACUGUUUUGUAUGUAUUAUAUGAAUAAGGAUCGGCUAACUCCGUGCCAGCAGCCGCGGUAAUACGGAGGAUCCGAGCGUUAUCCGGAUUUAUUGGGUUUAAAGGGAGCGUAGGUGGACUGGUAAGUCAGUUGUGAAAGUUUGCGGCUCAACCGUAAAAUUGCAGUUGAUACUGUCAGUCUUGAGUACAGUAGAGGUGGGCGGAAUUCGUGGUGUAGCGGUGAAAUGCUUAGAUAUCACGAAGAACUCCGAUUGCGAAGGCAGCUCACUGGACUGCAACUGACACUGAUGCUCGAAAGUGUGGGUAUCAAACAGGAUUAGAUACCCUGGUAGUCCACACAGUAAACGAUGAAUACUCGCUGUUUGCGAUAUACAGUAAGCGGCCAAGCGAAAGCAUUAAGUAUUCCACCUGGGGAGUACGCCGGCAACGGUGAAACUCAAAGGAAUUGACGGGGGCCCGCACAAGCGGAGGAACAUGUGGUUUAAUUCGAUGAUACGCGAGGAACCUUACCCGGGCUUAAAUUGCAGUGGAAUGAUGUGGAAACAUGUCAGUGAGCAAUCACCGCUGUGAAGGUGCUGCAUGGUUGUCGUCAGCUCGUGCCGUGAGGUGUCGGCUUAAGUGCCAUAACGAGCGCAACCCUUAUCUUCAGUUACUAACAGGUUAUGCUGAGGACUCUGGAGAGACUGCCGUCGUAAGAUGUGAGGAAGGUGGGGAUGACGUCAAAUCAGCACGGCCCUUACGUCCGGGGCUACACACGUGUUACAAUGGGGGGUACAGAAGGCAGCUAGCGGGUGACCGUAUGCUAAUCCCAAAAGCCUCUCUCAGUUCGGAUCGAAGUCUGCAACCCGACUUCGUGAAGCUGGAUUCGCUAGUAAUCGCGCAUCAGCCACGGCGCGGUGAAUACGUUCCCGGGCCUUGUACACACCGCCCGUCAAGCCAUGGGAGCCGGGGGUACCUGAAGUACGUAACCGCAAGGAUCGUCCUAGGGUAAAACUGGUGACUGGGGCUAAGUCGUAACAAGGUAGCCGUACCGGAAGGUGCGGCUGGAACACC
rnacentral:rRNA from 2 species